rnacentral:rRNA from 1 species
UACGUAGGGGGCAAGCGUUGUCCGAAUUACUGGGCGUAAAGCGCGUGUAGGCGGGACGGUUAGUCGGACGUGAAAGGCUGGGGCUCAACCCCAGAUCGCCGUUCGAAACUGCCGUUCUGAGGGUCGAAGAGGAGAGUGGAAUUCCUGGUGUAGCGGUGAAAUGCGUAGAUAUCAAGAGGAACACCUGCGGCGAAGGCGGGUUGCUGGGCCGACACUGACGCUGAUGCGCGAAAGCUAGGGGAGCGAACGGG